UGGCAGGGCGUGGCCAUGGCACGAUUCAAGACGUCGCAUGAUGCGUCAUGACAUGGCCAUGGCACGUGUCAGGACGCGUCGGGACAUGGCAGGGCGUGGCCAUGGCACGGGUCAGGACGUCGCAGGACAUGGCAAGGCGUUGCCUUGGCACGAUUCAGGACGUCGCAGGACGCGUCAAGACAUAGCCAUGGUCUGUGUCAGGACGCAUGAGGACAUGGUCAUGGCACUAGUCGGGACGUUGCAAGACAUGGCAGGGCGUAGCCAUGGAACGAGUCGGGACAUCGCAGGACAUGGCAAGGCGUGGCCAUGGCAGGAGUCUGGACGUCGUCCUGACGCGUCAUGACAUGGCCAUGGCACGAGUCACAACGUCGCAUGACGCGUCCUGACAUGGCCAUGGUACGUGUCAGGAUGCAUCAAGACAUGGCCAUGUCACGAAUCGGGACGUCGCAGGACAUGGCAGUGCAUGGCCAUGGCAAGAUUCAGGACGUCGCAGGACGCGUCAGGACAUCGCCAUGGUACGUGUCAGGACGUAUCAGGACAUGGCCAUGGCACGUGUCAGGACGCUUCAGGACAUGGCCAUGGCACGUGUUAGGACGUGUCAGGACAUGGCAGGGCGUGGCCAUGGCACGAGUCGAGACGUCACACGACAUGGAAGGGCGUGGCCAUGGCACGAGUCAGGAUGUCGCAGGACGCGUCAGGAUAUGGCCAUGGCACGUGUCAGGACGCGUCAGGACAUGGCAAGGCAUGGCCAUGGCACGAGUCAGGACGUCGCAGGACAUGGCAGGAUAUGGCUAUGGUACGUGUAAGAACGUGUCAGGACAUGUCCAUGGCACGACAUCGCACCAAGCAGCACAACGUCGCUACAAGCCGCACCACGUCUUUUGCUAACCAAUUCUUAGAAACAUGUCAAGCGCAAUGAUGUUGGUGGUCGUUGGCGACGGUGGUGGAAAGUCGGGGUGGUUCGAGCGGUGGUGUCCAGUGACGGUCGGUCGACGCUUGGAGGUUGGCUGCGGUUUCUUCAAAUCCUAAUCACUUGUUGUUGUUCGGCAACACGUCAAGCGCAAUGAUGUUGGUGGUCUUUGGUGGCGGUGGUGGCAAGUCAUGGUGGUUCGAGCGGUAUCCACUAGCGACGGUUGGUCGACGCUUUGUGGUCGGGUGCGGAUUUUUCAAAUCAGAAUCACUUGUAGUGGUUGCGACAAUGGAGGUGCCUCGUGCUUGUUGGCGAUUGGUGAUCUAUACGCUUUUAUAAUAAUAUUAUGUAUUUUUCCUAUUUUUAAUAUAUUUUUUUAGGAAUUUUUAUGCAUUUGUAUGCAUUUUUAGUUAUUUUAAAUUAGUUUUAUGUCACUUUUUAAUAAAAUAUUUACUCUUUUAUAUUUUGUACUAUUACAAGAUGUACUGGAAUUUUUCUCCAUCAUUAUUUCUAUUUUGAUAACAAUUUUCAUAUUUUUUAGCUUAUGGCGUAGAUGGCUUUCGGCAAUGGAACAGCAGAGCGUCGUGCAAGUAGCGCCACAAGGUGCGUGCACAUGGGGUGAUGCUUAGUAAGUUGCCUAUUACCAUUGAUUGUUAUGGGUUGUGUCAAUAUACCCCCCUCCGUGGAGGCAUAUGGCUUUGCAAUGUUGGCAUCGGCUUGUGUGGCGAGGUUGGAUCCCUACUCGAGCAGCGACGUCCUAGCUCGCAUGCAAUCUCACUCAUGUCACAAGCGAAAAUUAGGCUUGUUCGACGUCAGUUUUUUGUGUUGCAUACCUAAUGCCAAGGCAUUAUCAAGCACAAUCGGUCGCCUUUCGCCCCUCGCGUUCGACGUGCGGGGUGAACGAAAAGCUGUACUUGUGUCCCAGGUCGUCCUGGCUUCGCCUUGCAAUGGCUUGGUCCACGACUUACCAUGCUUGGGAUCUCGGAUUCGGUAAACGCAAUGGGCACAGGGCCUUCGUUGGCUCCUAUCUGCCCAAAGAAUGCUCCUUACGAAUGACGGUCGUGCUCGCCUUGGACUUUGCCGCGCCCUUUUGGGUCGGCCAUGCUCAUGCGAUGCCGACGGUAAUGAGGAAUGCUACCUGGUUUAUCAUGCCAGUAGUCAUAUGCUUGUCUCAAAGAUUAAGCCAUGCAUGUGUAAGUAUGAACAAAUUAAGAUUGUCACUCUGCGAAUGGCUCAUUAAAUAAGUUAUAGUUUGUUUCAUGGUAUCUACUACUAGGAUAACCAUAGUAAUUGUAGAGCUAAUACGUGCAACAAACCCCAACUUCUGGAAGGGAUGCAUUUAUUAGAUAAAAGGUCGACACGGGCUCUGCCCGUUGCUGCUAUGACUCAUGAUAACUCAACGGAUCUCACGGCCAUCGUGCCGGAGACGCAUCAUUCAAAUUUCUGCCCUAUCAACUUUCGAUGGCAGGAUAGUGGCCUACUGUCAGGACCCUAACUUUGUCAUCGGACGUGGCACGAAUGUGGCAAGGAUUUGGGCGUGAUGGCCUUGUCAUUGGCCUAUGUGCGAGCAAAACGAUCAUGCGGGUUGACAUGUUAUGGUGGACAAUUAUUGGCCAAGGCCUUGGCAUGGGCAAGGUGCGCUUGGAAAAGGCUUGAAGAGGAAACAUCGGCAAUGGUUGGGCGGCUUGGCACGGCAUGUGCGCCAAACUCAGAUUCAUGACACUCUUGGCUUGUGGCAGCUAUGUGCGGGCUAAGCUAAGGCGAGGCGGAAAUGCGGGUUGACGGAAAAGGUAUUCAAUAGCUACGACUAGGUUAUGGGAAAGAGAACACAUUUCAUUGGCAUGGGCAAUGUCUAAUUUACCUAAGGAAUGGCACGGGCAGCCGUGGGGGCGAAAUUAAGCUGGCCAAGGAAAUGGCACAUGCAAAACACAUGGAAAGCGGUUGGCGGCGUUGUUUGUAGGCCAUGAUCUCCCAUGAUCUCCCAUUAUCCCAUGAACUUAUUAUUUUUUUUUAUAGUGGCCCUAUUUCGUGCAUAAUGAUCCUAAGUAGUUGGGGAUGUCAACUACAAGUUAGGAGCAUGAUUUAAGCUUAGUCCGACAAGUGGCAAAAGCUGUUAGACAACAAGUGUCCUGGGCGGUUAAGUUUAACGGCCUAUAAAUAGUACCCUUCACUUAGGCAAAGCAACGAAGUAUGUUCAAGGGAAUUACUUGAGGGAAAAUAGAGUAAGUUCAAGGGAAUUACUCGUGGGAAACAAGAGCGAAAUGUGAGGGUUAUCUAGUGUUUCCAAAAAGGGGCUAAGGUUGUGCAUGGGCAGAUCUUAGUGUUGGCCAAGAACGACCAGGUGUUCUCCGUCAAAAGUGGGUUGUGAGCGGACGGAUAGUUCAUAGCAAUUGAGGGUCCUUUGUAUAUUUUCUAUAUUAAUGCAAAGGCUGGGAAUUUGUCCUAUAUGUUUGUAUUCCUUUAAAAUUCUAUUUUUUGCCUAAAUUUUGUCUAAGGUCAAACUUGCUGAAAAUUGCAAGUGUUUCGGAAGGCUGAGUCAAGCACGGGACUUGACUGCCGUGCGAGUGUGGUUUUGGACUAGGUCAAAAACACCCUCGUGAAAAUUGGUAUCAGAGCUGAGCAGGUUUGUGGCAGUGGCGAAACGAUCAGUGGCAGAUUACGUAAGAAUUUUUGAGAACAUGGCUGGUGGCACAAACGCGGAGCUGCAUCAAAGAGUUGAGUAGUUAGAAGCACUAGUUAAGCAGGAUCUUGAAAGUGAUGGUGAUUUUUAUGUUCUUGCUAGAAUGGCACGUUUGGAAGCAGAUUAUGCAGCGAGACAUGAGACAGUGCUGGCAGAAAUUACCUUGGUACGCCAAGAGAAAGAUGAAUUACGCGAGGAAGUGGCUGAUCUUCGAAGGGCAUUACAAAAUUCUGCCCGUAGAAAUGAUGAGCGCACUAAGCUGAGGAUUCCGGAGCCAAGGCUUAUGGUGGUGCAAUAAGUGCCAACGAACUUGAAAAUUUCUUGUGGUAUAUGGAGCAGUAUUUCCAGGCUGCACGUGUGUAGGAUGAUGAAAAGGUGGUGAUCACACCAAUGUACUUGACGGACGAUGCAAAGGUGUGGUGGCAUACACAAAGUGCAGAUUGAUAAGGUGCUGGACUGCCCAAGGUCAGAACUUGGGAGUUGAUGAAGAAGGAAUUAAAAUCCCAAUUCCUUCCAACAAAGUCAUCGUGAUGGCAUGAGAUGGACUGCGUCACUUGAAACAGAGUGGCACGGUGAGGGAGUAUGUCAAGAAAUUUUCGUCCUUGAUGCUCAAUGUAAGUAAAAUGGUAGAAGAAGACAAGCUGCAUUACUUCAUUAAUGGGUUGAAGGGAUGGGCGCAAUAAGAGUUGAGAAGGUAAAAUGUGCAAAGCCCUUCUACUGCCAUUGCAGCGGCAGAUGCGUUGGCGGACCUGAUUAUAUGUGAUGAACCUAUUGAAACUUUGCAUUCAAAGUCCGAUGGAAGGAAGGACAAAGCAAGGGAAUGGUAGAGAAAUGGGAAGGGCCAAGCGUCUGAAAUGAGGACCUUGUCAAGAUUGUGAGACUGGAAAAUCACAAUGGCAAGGAAAGGAACAGCGUGUUCAAAGGCUGUUUCACUUGUGGUGGACCGCACUUGAAGAGGGAUUGUCCGAUGCAGGCAAAGUUAAAUGCAGUGCUAGCUGCGGAGGGACAGGAACAAGUAGCGGAGGCAAAUGCCAUAGUUGCAGAUGCGUGGGGAGCACCCGCGCGGUGUUUGUCAACAACCCCUUGGGGUUGUUAAAUUUAGACAGCUACACGAGGAUGUCGAUUGCAAAGGGAAGAGCUGUUUCGUCAGGACCCUAACUUUUGUCAUCGGACGUGGCACGGCUGUGGCAAUGAUUUGGGCAUGAUGGCGUUGUCAUUGGCCUAUGUGCGAUCAAAACGAUCAUGCGGGUCGAAAGGCUGUGGUGGACAAGUAUUGGCCAAGGCCUUGGCAUGGGCAAUUUGCGCUUGGAAAAUGCUUGAAGAGGAAGCAUCGGCAAUGGUUGGGUGGCAUGGUACGACAUGCGUGCGAAACUUAGUGGCAUGACACUCUUGGGUUGUGGCAGCUAUGUACGGGCUAAUCUAAGGCGAGGCGGAAAUGCGGGUUGACGGAAAAGGCUUUUAAUAGCUAAGACUAGGCCCUGGGAAAGAGAAUACAAGCAAUGGCAUGAGGGAAAUUAGGUUGGCACGGACAAGGCACAAAACCUGGCCAAGGCAGUAUGCGGGUGUAUGGGCGCCGGGCGUGUGCGAAAAUAUCAUGGCAGCAGAUUGCGGGCAAUACAUUGGCAUAGGCAAUGUCUAAUUGACCUAAGGAAUUGCACGGGCAGCCUUGGGGGCGAAAUAAUGCUUGCCAAGGAAAUGGCACAUGCAAAGCACAUGGAAAGCGGUUGGCGGCGGUUACCUUGUUUGUAGGCCAUGAUCUCUCAUGAUCUCCCAUUAUCCCAUGAACUGAUUAUUGUUUGUAUAGUGGCCCCAUUUCGUGUAUAAUGGUCCUAGGUAGUUGGGGAUGUCAACUACAAGUUAGUAGCAUGAUUUCAGCUUAGUCCGACAAGUGGCAAAAGCUGUUAGACAACAAGUGUCAUGGGCGGUUAAGUAUAAGGGCCUAUAAAUAGGACCCUUAACUUAGGCAAAGCAACGAAUUAAGUUCAAGGGAAUUACUUUUGGGAAACUAGAGUACUCGGAUAACCAUAGUAAUUCUAGAGCUAAUACGUGCAACUAACCCCCACUUCUUGAAGGGAUUCAUUUAUUAGAUAAAAGGUCGACGCGGGCUCUGCCCGUUGCUGCGAUUAUUCAUGAUAACUCGACGGAUCGCACGGCCAUCGUUCCGGCAAUGCAUCAUUCAAAUUUCUGCCCUAUCAAAUUUCGAUUGUAGGGUAGUGGCCUACUGUCAGAACCCUAACUUUUGUCAUCGAACGUGGUAUGGCUUUGGUAAGGAUUUGGGCGUGAUGGCCUUGUCAUUGGCCUAUGUGCGAGCAAAACGAUCAUGCGGGUCAACGGGUUGUUGUGGACAAUUAUUGGCCAAGGCCUUGGCAUAGUCAAGGUGCGCUUGGAAAAGGCUUGAAGAGGCAGCAUCACCAAUAGUUGGGCGGCAUGGCACGGCAUGCGCGCCAAUCUCAGUGGCAUGACACUCUUGGGUUGUGGCAGCUAUGUGCGGGCUAAGCUAAGGCGAGGCGGAAAUGCGGGUUGACGCUAAAGGCUUUCAAUAUCUAAGACUAGGCUAUGGGAAAGAGAAUACAAGCAAUGGCAUGAGGGAAAUGAGGUUGGCACGGACAAGGCAGAAAACUAGGCCAAGGCAGUGUGUGGGUGUAUGGGCAUCAGGCAUGUGCAAAAAUAUCAUGGCACCGGAUUGUGGGCAAGACAUUGGCAUGGGCAAUGUCUAAUUGACCUAAGGAAUGGCACGGGCAGCCUUGGGGCGAAAUGAAGCUGGCCAAGGAAAUGGCACAUGCAAAGCACAUGGAAAGCGGUUGGCGGCGUUGUUUGUAGGCCAUGAUCUCCCAUGAUCUCCCAUUAUCCCAUGAACUGGUUAUUGUUUGUAUAGUUGCCCUAUUUCGUGUAUUAUGAUCCAAAGUAGUUGGGGAUGUCAAGUACAAGUUAGGAGCAUGAUUUAAGCUUAGUCUGACAAGUGGCAAAAGUUGUUAGACAACAAGUGUCAUGGGCGGUUAAGUUUAGGGGUCUAUUAAUAGGACCUUUAACUUAGGAAAAGCAGCGAAGUAAGUUCAAGGGAAUUACUUGUGGCAAAAUAUAGUAAGUUCAAGGGAAUAACUCGUGGGAAACAAGAGAGAAACGUGAGGGUUUUCUAGUGUUUUCAAAGGUGGGCUAAGGAUGUGCAUGGGCAGAUCUUAGUGUUGGCCAAGAACGACCAGGUGUUCUUCGUCAAAAGUGGGCUGUGAGUGGACGGAUAGUUCAUAGCAAUUGAGGGUACUUUGUAUAUUUUCUAUAUUAAUGCAAAGGUUGGGAAUUUUUCCUAUAUGUUUGUGUUCCUUUAAAACUUUGUUUUGUUGCUAAAUUUUGUCUAAGGUCAAACUUGCUGAAAAUUGCAAGUGUUUCGGAAGGCUGAGUCAAGCACGGGACUUGACUGCCGUGCGAGUGUGGUUUUGGACUAGGUCAAAAACACCCUCGUGAAAAUUGGUAUCAGAGCUGAGCAGGUUUGUGGCAGUGGCGAAACGAUCAGUGGCAGAUUACGUAAGAAUUUUUGAGAACAUGGCUGGUGGCACAAACGCGGAGCUGCAUCAAAGAGUUGAGUAGUUAGAAGCACUAGUUAAGCAGGAUCUUGAAAGUGAUGGUGAUUUUUAUGUUCUUGCUAGAAUGGCACGUUUGGAAGCAGAUUAUGCAGCGGCGGAUGUGGUUUCGGACUACUUCAAAAUCGCCCCCGUGAAAAUUAGUAUCAGAGCUGAGAAGGUUCAUGGUUGCGGCGAAACGAUCAGUGGCAGAUUACGUUGGAAUUCUUGAGAACAUGGCUGGUGGAACAAAUGCAGAGCUGCAUCAAAGAGUUGAACAGUUGGAAGCACUAGUUAAGCAGGCUCUUGAAAGUGAUGGUGAUUCUUAUGUUCUUGCUAGAAUGGCACGUUUGGAGGCAGAUUAUGCAGUGAGACAUGAGACAGCGCUGGCAGAAAUGGCCUUAGUACGCCAAGAGAAAGAUGAAGUAUGCGAGGAAGUGGCUGAUCUUCGAAGGGCAUUACAAAAUUCUGCCCCCUAGAAAUGAUGAGCGCACUAAGCUGAGGAUUCCGGAGCCAAAGGCUUAUGGUGGUGCAAAAAGUGCCAAGGAAGUGGAAAAUUUCAUGUGGUAUAUGGAUCAGUAUUUCUUGGUUGCACGUGUGCCGGAUGAUGAAAAGGUGGUGAUCACACCAAUGUACUUGACGCACGAUGCAAAGGUGUGGUGGCAUACACAAAGUGCACAUGGAGAAGGUGCUGGAUUGCCCAGGGUCGGAACUUGGGAGUUGAUGGAGAAGGAAUUAAAACCCCAAUUCCUUCCAACAAAGUCGUCGAGGAUGGCACGAGAUGGACUGCGUAACAUAAAACACAGUGGCACGGUGAGGGAGUAUGUCAAUGAAUUUUCGUCCUUGAUGCUCAAUGUAGGUAUAAUGGCAGAUGAAGACAAGAUGCAUUACUUCAUGAGCGGGUUAAAGGGAUGGGCGCAAUUGGAGUUGAGAAGGAAAAAUGUGCAAAGCCUCUCUACUGCCAUUGCAGCGGUAGAGGCGUUGGCAGACCUUAAUAUAGGUGAUGAACCUAUUGAAACUUCGCAUUCGAAGUCCGACGGAAGGAAUGACAAAUCAAGGGAAUGGAAGAGAAACGGGAAGGGCCAAGCGUAUGAAAUGAGGAACUUGUCAAGAUUGUGAGACCGUAAAAUCACAAUGGCAAGGAAAGGAAAAACGUGUUCAUAGGCUGUUUCACUUGUGGUGGACCGCACUUGAAGAGGGACUGUACGAUGCAGGCUAAGGUAAAUGCACUGCUAGCUGCGGAGGGACAGGAACAAGUGGCGGAGGCAAAUGCCAUAGUGGUAGAUGCGAGGAGAGCACUCGGGCGGUGUUUGUCAAUAACCCCUUGGGGUUGUUAAAUUGAGACAGCUCGACGAGGACAUCGAUUUCAAAGGGAGGAGGUGUUUUGUCAGGACCCUAACUUUUGUCAUCAGACGUGGCAUGGCUGUGGCAAUGAUUUGGGCAUGAUGGCCUGGUCAUUGGCCUAUCUGCGAGCAAAACGAUCAUGCAGGUCGACGGGCUGUGGUGGACUAGUAUUGGACAAGGCCUUGGCAUGGGCAAGGUGCACUUGGAAAAGGCUUGAAGAUGAAGCAUCGGCAAUGGUUGGGCGGCAUGGCACGGCAUGCGCGCCAAACUCCGUGGCAUGAUACUCUUGGGGUUUGGCAGCAAUGUGUGGGAUAAGCUAAGGCGAGGCGGAAAUGCGGGUUGACGGCAAAGGAUUUUAAUAGAUAAGACUAGUCUAUGGUAAAGAGAAUACAAGCAAUGGCAUGAGGGAAAUUAGGUUUGCACGGAUAAGGCAGAAAACUAGGCCAAGGCAGUGUGCGGGUGUAUGGGCGCUGGGCGUGUGCGGAAAUAUCAUGGCAGCGGAUUGCGGGUAAGACAUUGGCAUGGGAAAUGUCUAAUUGACCUAAGGAAUGGCACGGGCGGCCUUGGGGCGAAAUUAAGCUGGCCAAGGAAAUGGUACAUGCAAAGCACAUGGAAAGCGGUUUGCGGCGGUUACCUUGUUUGUAGGCCAUGAUCUCUCAUGAUCUCCCAUUAUCCCAUUAACUGAUUAUUGUUUGUAUAGUCACCCCAUUUCGUGUAUAAUGGUCCUAAGUAGUUGGGGAUGUCAACUACAAGUUAGAAGCAUGAUUUAAGAUUAGUCCGACAAGUGGCAAAAGCUGUUAGACAACAAGUGUCAUGGGCGGUUAAGUUUAGGGGGCCUAUAAAUAGGACCCUUAUCUUAGGCAAAGCAACGAAGUAAGUUCAAGGGAAUUACUUGUGGCAAAAUAGAGUAAGUUCAAGGGAAUUACUCGUGGGAAACAAGAGAGAAACGUGAGGGUUUUCUAGUGUUUCCAAAAGGGGGCUAAGGUUGUGCAUGGGCAGACCUUAGUGUUGGCCAAGAACGACUAGGUGUUCUUCGUCAAAAUUGGGCUGUGAGCAGACAGAUAGUUCAUAGCAGGCAUAUCUUAGUGUUGGCCAAGAACGACCAGGUGUUCUUCGUCAAAAGUGGGCUGUGAGCGGAUGGAUAAUUCAUAGCAAUUGAGGGUCCUUCGUAAAUUUUCUAUAUUAAUGCAAAGGUUGGGAAUUUGUCCUGAGUCAAGCACAGGACUUGACUGCCGCGCGGGUGUGGUUUUGGACUAGGUCAAAAACGCCCCCAUGACACCUACCAUGGUGGUGACGAGUGACAGAGAAUUAGUGUUCGAUUGCGGAGAGGGAGCCUGAGAAACGGCUACCACAUCUAAGCAAGGCAGCAGGCGCCCAAAUUACCCAAUCCUGACACGGGGAGGUAGUGCCAAUAAAUAACAAUACCGGGCUUUAUGAGUAUGGUAAUUGGAAUGAGUACAAUCUAAAUCCCUUAACGAGGAUCGAUUGGAGGGCAAGUCUGGUGCCAGCAGCCGCGGUAAUUCCAGCUCCAAUAGCGUAUAUUUAAGUUGUUGCAAUUAAAAAGCUCGUAGUUGGACUUGGGGAUGGGCCGGCCGGUCCGCCUUUGGUGUGCACCGGUCGUCUCGUCCCUUCUGCCGGCGAUGCGAGAUCGGAAGACAAUUAAAAAGCUCGUAGUUGGACUUUGCGAUGGGCCGGCCGGUCUGCCUUAGGUGUGCACCGGUCGUCUCGUCCUUUCUGCCGGCGAUGCGCUCCUAGCCUUAAUUGGACGGGUCGUGCUUCCGGCGCUGUUACGUUGAAGAAAUUAGUGUGCUCAAAUCAAGCCUACGCUCUGUAUACAUUAGCGUGGGAUAACAUCAUAGGAUUUCGGUCCUAUUACGUUGGCCUUCGGGAUCGGAGUAAUGAUUAACAGGGACAGUCGGGGGCAUUCGUAUUUCAUAGUCAGAAGUGAAAUUCUUGGAUUUAUGAAAGACGAACAACUGCGAAAGCAUUUGCCAAGGAUGUUUUCAUUAAUCAAGAACGAAAGUUGGGGGCUCGAAGACGAUCAGAUACCGUCCUAGUCUCACCAUAUACGAUGUCGACCAGGGAUCGGCGGAUGUUGCUUUUCGGACUCCGCCGGCACCUUAUGAGAAAUCAAAGUUUUUGGGUUCCGGGGGGAGUAUGGUAGCAAGGCUUAAUCUUAAAGGAAUUGACGGAAGUGCACCACCAGGAGUGGAGCAUGCGGCUUAAUUUGGCUGAACGCGGGGAAACAUACCAGGUCCAGACAUAGUAAGGACUGACAGACUCAGAGCUCUUUCUUGAUUCUAUUGGUGGUGGUGCAUGGCCGUUCUUUGUUGGUGGAGCGAUUUGUCUGGUUAAUUUCGUUAACGAACGAGACCUCAGCCUGCUAACUAGCUAUGCCGAGGUAUCCCUUCGCGGCCAACUUGUUAGAGGGACUACGGCGUUUUAGGAGGCGGAAGUUUGAGGCAAUAACAGGUUUGUGAUACCUUUAUAUGUUCUGGGCCACACGCGUGCUACACUGAUGUAUUCAACGAGUUUAUAGCCUUGUCCGAAAGGCCCGGGUAGUCUUUGAACUUUCAUCGUGAUGGGGAUAGAUCAUUGCAAUUGUCGGUCUUCAAUGAGGAAUUCCUAGUAAGCGCGAGUCAUCAGCUCGCGUUGACAACGUCCCUGCCCUUUGUACACACCGCCCGUCGCUCCUACUUGAAUGAAUCGAUGAAAUGUUCGGAUCGCGGCGACGUGGGUGGUCCGCUGCCCGCGACAUCGUGAGAAGUCAAUUGAAACACAGAUGACUCUUGGCAACAGAUAUCUCGGCUCUCGCAUCGAUGAAGAACGUAGUGAAAUGCGAUACUUGGUGUGAAUUGCAAAAUCCUGUGAACCAUCGAGUCUUUGAACGCAAGUUGCGCCAGAAGCCAUAAAGCCGAGGGCACGUCUGCCUGGGCGUCACGCAUGGCAUCGCCCCUGCACACCGCACCCAUUCUCAUGGUCGUGGUGGUGUCAUGGGACGGAUAUUGGCUUCCCGUGUGCCUCGAGCAUGCGGUGGGCCUAAAUGCGAGUCCACAGCGACGGACGUCACGACAAGUGGUUGUUGAAACUCAACUCUCGUAAUGUCGCGGCUCCAACCCGUUGCUUGUUUGGUCUCCCCGACCCUUAUCGCGCUUCCAGGGUACGAGUCAGGACAUGGCAGGGCGUGGCCAUGGCACGAGUCAGGACAUGGCAGCGACCCUUAUCGCUGCUUAGGCGCUCCGACCGCGACCCAGGUCAGGCGGGACUACCCACUGAGUUUAAGCAUAUCAAUAAGUGGAGGAAAAGAAACUUACAAGGAUUCCCCUAGUAACGGCGAGCAAACCGGGAACAGCCCAGCCUUAGAAUCGGGCAACUCCGUCCUCCGAUUCUAGUCCGGAGAAGCGUCCUCAGCGGUGGACCGGGCCCAAGUCCCCUUGAAGGGGGCGCCAGAAAGGGUGAGAGCCCCGUUGUGCCCGGACCCUGUCGCACCACAAGGCGCUGUCUAUGUGUCGGGUUGUUUGGGAAUGCAGCCCAAAUCGGGCGGUAAAUUCCGUCCAAGGCUAAAUACGGGCGAGAGACCGAUAGCGAACAAGUACAGCGGCACGUGUCAGGACAUGGCAGGGCGUGGCCAUGGCAAGAGUCAGGACGUCGCAGGACGCGUCAAGACAUGCCCAUGGUACGUGUCAGGUCAUNNNNNNNNNNNNNNNNNNNNNNNNNNNNNNNNNNNNNNNNNNNNNNNNNNNNNNNNNNNNNNGGUCGAUAGCGAACAAGUAUCGCGAGGGAAAGAUGAAAAGGACUUUGAAAAGAGAGUCAAAGAGUGCUUGAAAUUGUCGGGAGGGAAGAGGAUGAGGCCGGCGAUGCACCCCGAUCGGAUGUGAAAUGGUGUUAAGCCAGUCCGCCGAUCGACUCAGGGCGUGGACCAUCGUAGAUUGGGGGAGCGGCCAAAGCCCGGGGUUUUGAUACACUCGUGGAACGCCGUCUCCUUUAUUGUGGUUAGGCAGCGCGCGCCUCU
rnacentral:lncRNA from 1 species